UCCCAACACCUCCCCUCCCCUCCCCUCCCCAAAUUUACCUUCCAAUCUAUCCCACCACCACCACAUCCAUGGCUUCACCACCCACUCUCCCAAUCUCCAGCAACCAAUCAACCACCACCUCCUCAGCCGCCGCCCAAUCCCAACCACCCAUAGGCACCCCAGCCUUCCGCUCUUUCAUGACCCGCCUCUCCACCUCCGUCCGGCAAGGCCUCUCCCAACGCCGCCCUUGGUCGGAGCUCAUCGACCGUUCCUCCCUCGCCCGCCCUGACUCCCUCUCCGACGCCGCCUCUCGCAUUCGCAAAAACCUAUCUUACUUCCGCGUCAACUACAUUACCCUAAUCGCCCUCGUCUUGGCUCUCUCUCUCCUCUCUCACCCUCUCUCUCUCCUCGUCCUCCUCUGCCUCCUCGCCUCCUGGCUCUUCCUCUACCUCUUCCGCCCCUCCGAUCAACCCUUCGUCCUCUUUGGCCGCACCUUUUCCGAUCGCGAAAUCCUCGGCCUCCUCCUCGUCUCCACUGUAGUUGUGGUCUUCCUCACCAGCGUUGGAUCGGUUCUGAUCUCUGCUCUCCUCGUCGGAUUGGCGAUUGUUUGCGCUCACGGCGCGUUUAAGGUGCCCGAGGACCUGUUUCUUGACGAUCAAGAGCCAGCCAACGGCGGUUUCCUCUCGUUCCUCGGCGGCGCCGCAUCCUCGGCCGCCGCAGCGGCAGCUCCAGCUGUUGCCGCCGCCCGGGUUUGAUGAAGAAAUAGAAGAAAAGCUAUGUGAAUUAUAGGUAUACAAAUGUAUCUGGAAAGAUUUUAAGCCUUUCAACUCCCUGUUGAGAUCGAGGAAAGAAGGUUCGUUUCUCUGGCAACAUCAGCUGAAGUAGAUUCAGCAACCAAAUGGAAUGGUAAUGUGGCUCUCUCUUAAAAGUAGUCAAGAGGAUAAUUGAGACUAUCGGUCUGGAGGAGCUUAUCCCGAGCUAAACAGGUGAUUUGGGAGUUUAUUUCUCUCUUGUUGAGCUAAAAAUUUCUCUCUUAUUAAGCUAAACAAGUGAUUUUUUGGGAGCUACCUCAUUUUAUUGAGCGCUUAUAUUUCCAAAUCCUUUUCCCUCAGUACAUAUGUAGUUAAUUUUUUUUUUAAUUACAAUUUUUGUCCUAAAAUAAAACUCUACCAUAAUAUCUUAUCUUCUUCAUUCCAAAUGUUAUCCUUGAACCAUCUGCCACUACCACCCUCCAUUGUCGAUGCCGCCCCAUUGCAGCCCCCUCUAUCUCUCUCUUUUCUCCCUUGUGUGGCUCUCUUCCUCCCUCGUUGAACCCCCCUACUGAUGUGAAAUCCCUUCACUUCAACCCCUCACUUUUGCAUCCCCUUUUUGUCGUGAAACUUGCCUCUAUAAAACCUUGUCACUGCCGCGAACAAGUGGGUUUGAUAGUUGAUAUCCAAACAUAUACUAUUGGUUUGAUGGUGGUUGGAACAGUUGAGAAAAAAGAGUGAAGUUAGGGUUUGGUGGUGGUGGUGUGUGCGAUCUAGGGUUAGAGUUAGGUUUGGAGGUGGUGGCAGGGAACUGGAUUUUUUAGUGCAAGGCUUUCAAUGAUCUUGUUGUGACUUUAACCGCACCAGUUAAGACAUGAUUCAACGGUUUAGGUCUAUUUCAAUUUAACAAAAUCAAGAAAAUAUGUGGUGAUUUCCCUUUCUGCAAAUAUAAUUGAGUUACCUUUUAUGCAAGUAUUGCGGAUUGAUCCAAAAUAUAACAGAUCGACCAAAGACUUUCCAAAAAGAUUAGGCUUUAAGGUACGGGCCGACCCAACAAAUGACUUGUCAGGUCUCAUUUGGCAAUUGGGUUGGGUUGGUUUUUUUUGGUUAAAUUAGUCAUAAAAAGACAAAAUAAGUUAAAAUGUCAAUAAGAUAAAAUGUCACAUUCAAAAAAUUAAAAAAUUAAAAAUUUAACUCAACAUUCCAAAUGAAACCUAGUCGACCCAACUAUGCAUGCUCAAAUAUCAAGUAUGACUUCUAUCAUCCCUAGCUCCAAUUGUGGUCUUGUUUUGACUCUUCCAUACUUUUUUAGGCUAAAUAAUAAAAUCCUAGUUAAAAUUUAAUUUUAAAACCAUAAAAAUAAAAAAGCUAAAACACAAAUGCACCGUUGUGGUUUAUCAAAAAUAUGGAUUCCUUUUCCAUGUUUUGAAAAUUACAAAUAUCUCAUUAUUAUAAUUUUUUUCUUUAACUGAUCUAACUGUAAAAAAUAAAAAAUAAAAAAUAAAUUACCUAGAUACCUUUUAAUACCAAAAUAAAAUUAUCAUACAAUUCUCAUUUUUGUCCACCCACCACAAAUUUCUCUCUACACCACCACAAAAUUCCCAAACCGUCUUUGGCUACACAUCAAAUGUUUAUAAAUAGACAAUAAUGAUGGUGGUGCAUUGGUCAAAAGUGAGGAGGGGUGUGAUGGUUGAGUGAAGUGGUUAUACUAGUUAAGAGAAAAUAAGAAAUAAGGAAUGUGAGAUGGGCAAAAGGAAAAUAAUAAUAAUAAUAAUAAUAAUAAUAGUGUUUAAUUUCAUAAAGAUUAAUGUAGGUAUUUCUAUAAAAAAUCAAAAUAAAAUUUGUUACUUACGUCAUACUCUAUAGUUUAACUUAAUAAUUGAUUGUCAAAGGAGGCUAUUUGUCAUAUGACUAGCAUUAGUAUUUAAUUUCUUAUUUUUUCUAUUUUGAUUUUUUUUAGUUGUGGUCCCUUGAUUUGUGAUUUUUGUGCCGAUUUGUAGUGGGGCGGGAGGUGAUGGUGGAGGUGAGAUGAGAGAUGAUGUGAAGAAGUGAUUAUAUAAUGAGGGCAAGAGGUGUUGAUAGUGGCUAUUAGGGUGGAAGAAAAAGGUAUCGUUGGUAGGAUUCAUAGAUGUGGUUGUGCUUGUGGUUGUGCUUGUUGGGGUGUGUCAUGGUGGCAGUGGCAAUGGCAAUAGAAUGGAAAAUGAAGAGUGAAGAGUGGUGGUUGUGGCAACGAAGGCGAAUGAGGAAGUGAAAAUUAACCCCUAAAUGAUAUUGUAUUUAAUUUUCAAAUGCUAUCUAAGGCGUUUCGGCCUUGUUUAGAAGCAGACUAUUUAAGUAAUUUUUUAUAAAAAAAAAUGUGCAGAAAAAUAAAAAGAGUGAUGUGAUAACUUAUAGCAACUUUUUAGUUUUUUUAGUUGGCUUUGGCUAUUUUAACUAUUUUUUUGUUUGGGACUAAAGUUUGUUUGGUUUGGUGGUUUGGCUUUUUUGACUUUUUGUAUUGGGAAUGGUGUUUCAAAAAGUAAAGUGACAAAAUUGCCCUCCAUUUGCCAAUUGGAAAAAACACCUCUAAAAAAUGUAUACAUUUUUUAUUUUAGUUUUUCAGUUCAAUUAUUUACAUUUCAUUUGUUGUAUAUUUUAUCAAAUUUUGGUUUCUUAGUUAAUGGUUGCUGCUUUCCAAUAACAAAAAUAUAAAACAAUUAUUUCCACUGUGACAAUGGAUUGUAGUUAACGGAAAUUUUGCUGUA